UACGUAGGGUGCGAGCGUUGCCCGGAUUUAUUGGGCGUAAAGGGCGCGUAGGCGGUCACGCACGUCCGUUGUGAAAUCGCUCGGCUCAACUGGGCGGGGUCAGCGGAUACGGCGUGGCUGGAGCAAGCUAGGGGGCAAUGGAAUUCCCGGUGUAGUGGUGGAAUGCGUAGAUAUUGGGAAGAACACCGGUGGCGCAAGCGGCUUGCUGGGCCAUAACUGACACUGAGGAACGAAAGCUAGGGGAGCGAAUGGG
rnacentral:rRNA from 1 species